rnacentral:piRNA from 1 species
UAUUAAAUGGACUUUGUCUGGAUAUGGUC